UACGUAGGGUGCAAGCGUUAAUCGGAAUUACUGGGCGUAAAGCGCGCGCAGGCGGCCUCGCGCGCCCGACGUGAAAGCCCCCGGCUUAACCGGGGAGGGUCGUUGGGGACGGCGGGGCUUGAGGGCGGGAGAGGGUGGUGGAAUUCCCGGUGUAGUGGUGAAAUGCGUAGAGAUCGGGAGGAACACCCGUGGCGAAGGCGGCCACCUGGGCCGACCCUGACGCUGAGGCGCGAAGGCGUGGGGAGCGAACGGG
rnacentral:rRNA from 1 species